rnacentral:sRNA from 1 species
GCCAGGCACAGUGGUGCAUGCUUGUAAUCCCAGUGGCUCAGGAGGCUGAAGCAGGAGGAUUGUGAGUUCAGAGCCAGCCUCAGCAACUUAGCGAGGCUCUAAGCAAUUAAAUAAGACCCCGUCUCUA